GCUCCUCAUGGUGAGGCUUUGUUAUGAUGACUGGAGUUUCUUUUUACUUUUGCCAGGAUUGACAGAUAAUAAGUUCAAGAUCCAGAACUGAUCCAUGAGUUCUUUCGAUAUUUUUUUUUAAAUUGCAGUCUGCUUCAGGUAGUCUAGACAUUUCUAGCAGAGGACAGCAACAUGGAGAACAAGUCCAAGAACUAAGCCAAUCCAGUUC
rnacentral:lncRNA from 1 species